rnacentral:rRNA from 1 species
GAUGAACGCUAGCGGCAGGCUUAACACAUGCAAGUCGAGGGGUAGAGUUAGCUUGCUAACUUGAGACCGGCGCACGGGUGCGUAACGCGUAUGCAAUCUACCUUGUACAGAGGGAUAGCCCAGAGAAAUUUGGAUUAAUACCUCAUAGUAUUAUUGAAUGGCAUCAUUUGAUUAUUAAAGUUCCAACGGUACAAGAUGAGCAUGCGUCCCAUUAGCUAGAUGGUAAGGUAACGGCUUACCAUGGCAACGAUGGGUAGGGGUCCGGAGAGGGAGAUCCCCCACACUGGUACUGAGACACGGACCAGACUCCUACGGGAGGCAGCAGUGAGGAAUAUUGGUCAAUGGGCGCAAGCCUGAACCAGCCAUGCCGCGUGCGGGAAGACGGUCCUAUGGAUUGUAAACUGCUUUUAUACGGGAAGAAACCCUGCUACGUGUAGCAGCUUGACGGUACCGUAAGAAUAAGCAUCGGCUAACUCCGUGCCAGCAGCCGCGGUAA